AAGACAUGUACAGGAUGUUCUGGAUAUGGUGGAGUGUGUAUGGAGGUUGUGGUAGAUCAACAUAGAAUCGAUCACUCCUAGUAAGAGGAGAUCACAUCCUAUGUAUUCUUAAUCCUAGAUGACUCAAAAAAAAAUUUUUGAUCAAAAGUAGAAAAAAAAUUAGAAAGAGUUUUCAAUGUUUCUUUAUCGAAGACAUCAUUGGUUAAUUGAAAAAUUAUAUGAAUAUAUGUUUGAGUUUGAUAUGAUUCCAUACUCAUGAAUAUAUUCAGGAUGCAGGGA
rnacentral:lncRNA from 1 species